GUGCACGGUGGCCACAGGAUGAUGGACGGGUCACUGGACUUUGGGAACUCGACCAGCUGCUUGGUCGGCAGACAGGUGCCGGGCUCCGGGUUGGGCACCGAAGCUGACGAACCUGCGCCAGCACAGUUCUUACCUAAGAUUGACGGUGGGCCUUCAAACCCGUCCACGGUAGCGUCGGCUGUAAAUAAAAAAAAAUUGUAAGCAUCGAGUAAAAUAUUGUAUUAAAGAGAGCUCAAGACUAAGGCGCUUCCAUGAACGCAGUAAAAUGUCUUUUGUUAGUUUUUUUUUCUUGUUUCUCUUUCUACCAGGUUCGUGUGAAGUAAUGAAGGCUGUCCGACGAGUAAGGUCAUAUGCACCUUAAAGCUUCAAUAACUGUGUUCAGAGAGAGGCAGGGAGGGAGAGAGAACCUAA